AGAGUUUGAUCCUGGCUCAGGAUGAACGCUGGCGGCGUGCCUAAUACAUGCAAGUCGAGCGAACGUCAUAGAAGCUUGCUUCUAUGACGUUAGCGGCGGACGGGUGAGUAACACGUGGGCAACCUGCCUGUAAGACUGGGAUAACUUCGGGAACCGAAGCUAAUACCGGAUAGGAUCUUCUCCUUCAUGGGAGAUGAUUGAAAGAUGGUUUCGGCUAUCACUUACAGAUGGGCCCGCGGUGCAUUAGCUAGUUGGUGAGGUAACGGCUCACCAAGGCAACGAUGCAUAGUCGACCUGAGAGGGUGAUCGGCCACACUGGGACUGAGACACGGCCCAGACUCCUACGGGAGGCAGCAGUAGGGAAUCUUCCGCAAUGGACGAAAGUCUGACGGAGCAACGCCGCGUGAGUGAUGAAGACUUUCGGGUCGUAAAACUCUGUUGUUAGGGAAGAACAAGUACGAGAGUAACUGCUCGUACCUUGACGGUACCUAACCAGAAAGCCACGGCUAACUACGUGCCAGCAGCCGCGGUAAUACGUAGGUGGCAAGCGUUAUCCGGAAUUAUUGGGCGUAAAGCGCGCGCAGGCGGUUUCUUAAGUCUGAUGUGAAAGCCCACGGCUCAACCGUGGA
rnacentral:rRNA from 1 species